rnacentral:rRNA from 1 species
GACGAACCGUGCGAACGUUGUUCGGAAUCACUGGGCUUAAAGGGCGCGUAGGCGGGCAGGCAAGUCAGGGGUGAAAGCCCACGGCUCAACCGUGGAAGUGCCUUUGAUACUGCCGGCCUGGAGGGAGGUAGGGGCGUGCGGAACUUCCGGUGGAGCGGUGAAAUGCGUAGAUAUGGGGAGGAACACCGGUGGCGAAGGCGGCCACCUGGACGGUAACUGACGCUGAGACGCGAAAGCGUGGGGAGCAAACAGG